CCUACUGCUAUCGGGGUGGGACUAAGACAUGCGAGUCGAGCGUCUCUAGUUAUGGUGAGACGCGGCAGACGGCUCAGUAACACGUGGCUAACCUACCCUCAGGACAGGGACAAACCCGGGAAACUGGGGCUAAUACCCGAUAGGCGAGGGCGCCUGGAAUGGUUCUUCACCCAAAGGGCUUUGGAAGCAUGCUUUUCAAAGUCGCCUGGGGAUGGGGCCGCGUCCGAUCAGGUUGUUGGUGAGGUAACGGCUCACCAAGCCUAUAACCGGUACGGGCCGUGAGAGCGGUAGCCCGGAGAUGGGCACUGAGACAAGGGCCCAGGCCCUACGGGGCGCAGCAGUCGCGAAAACUCCGCAAUGCACGAAAGUGUGACGGGGCUACCCCGAGUGCCGUCCGCUAAGGAUGGCUUUUCCUCGGUGUAACUAGCCGGGGGAAUAAGGAGAGGGCAAGACUGGUGUCAGCCGCCGCGGUAAUACCAGCUCUCCGAGUGGUAGGGAUGAUUAUUGGGCUUAAAGCGUCUGUAGCCGGCUUAGCAAGUCUCCUGUUAAAUUCAGCGACCUAAUCGUUGAGCCGCGGGAGAUACUACUAGGCUAGGAGGCGGGAGAGGCCGACGGUACUUCCGGGGUAGGGGUGAAAUCCUAUAAUCCCGGGCGGACCACCAGUGGCGAAGGCUGUCGGCUAGAACGCGCUCGACGGUGAGGGACGAAAGCUGGGGGAGCGAACCGGAUUAGAUACCCGGGUAGUCCCAGCCGUAAACGAUGCGGGCUAGGUGUUGGGGUGGCUACGUGCCACUUCAGUGCCGCAGGGAAGCCAUUAAGCCCGCCGCCUGGGGAGUACGGCCGCAAGGCUGUAACUU
rnacentral:rRNA from 1 species